UAUAGUGAGUUAAAUGUUGGAACAGGAGGAUAUAAUAAUUUAUAUUCAGGCUUAUAUUCAAGCUAUAAUUCUAACUGAACUUUUUUAGAUCCAUCCAUCCAUCUCUUCCGUUUUUCCUUAUCAGGGUUGUUGGGGGGCCUGGAGCCAGCCGUCAUAGGAUCCUGACAGUGCUGAAUCAAAGAGGCAACUUUGAACUCCUAUCAGAUAUCUGCUGGGGGAGAGAAGGAGGAGGAGGAGAGAGUGAAGGUGGAGGAAAAGAGUAUUUUUCACAUGGACUUUCUGUGAAAGAAGCUCCGCAUUAAAGAAGUUGAUGACACCAAAUAGCUCCAAGCAUCAGCCCAACCUGUGUCUGCACUGCAUUCAGCUCCACAAUCCUUGAAAACUCCCCGAAGGUUAAAAAACUUCACGAAGUGCCGCAGCUUCCCAGGCAAGUUCUAUUCAACAGCUCCCCCUUGAGAAUAGCAGC